CUUUACUGUAGCCUGGUAUUGGGUUCGGGCUUUGACUGCGCAGGAUAGGUGGGAGACUGAGAAGUGUGCCUUGUGGGGCACAUAGAGUCAACGGUGAGAUACCACUCUGUCAGAGCUAGAAUUCUAACCUUCACCCGUGAUCCGGGGAAGGAACCGUAUCAGGUGGGCAGUUUGACUGGGGCGGUCGCCUCCUAAAAGGUAACGGAGGCGCGCAAAGGUGUUCUCAGGCUGGUUGGAAAUCAGCCGUAGAGUGUAAAGGCAGAAGAACGCUUGACUGUGAGAGUGACAACUCAAGCAGGGUGGAAACACGGCCUUAGUGAUCCGACGGUUCCAUGUGGAAGGGCCGUCGCUCAACGGAUAAAAGUUA
rnacentral:rRNA from 1 species